GACGAACGCUGGCGGCGUGCUUAACACAUGCAAGUCGAACGCUGAAGCUCAGCUUUUGUUGGGUGGAUGAGUGGCGAACGGGUGAGUAACACGUGAGUAACCUGCCUCCUUCUUUGGGAUAACGCCCGGAAACGGGUGCUAAUACUGGAUAUUCACUGGUCUUCGCAUGGGGGUUGGUGGAAAGGGUUUUUCUGGUGGGGGAUGGGCUCGCGGCCUAUCAGCUUGUUGGUGGGGUGAUGGCCUACCAAGGCUUUGACGGGUAGCCGGCCUGAGAGGGUGACCGGUCACAUUGGGACUGAGAUACGGCCCAGACUCCGACGGGAGGCAGCAGUGGGGAAUAUUGCACAAUGGGCGCAAGCCUGAUGCAGCGACGCCGCGUGAGGGAUGGAGGCCUUCGGGUUGUGAACCUCUGUCGCUCAUGGUCAAGCCGCAACAAUGGUUGUGGUGAGGGUAGUGGGUAAAGAAGCGCCGGCUAACUACGUG
rnacentral:rRNA from 1 species